GCCUGGUUAGCUCAGUUGGUAGAGCGCUCCACACGAAAUGGAAAGGUCACUGGUUCGAUACCAGUAUUAGGCG
rnacentral:tRNA from 1 species